rnacentral:rRNA from 1 species
ACGUAGGUGGCAAGCGUUAUCCGGAAUUAUUGGGCGUAAAGCGCGCGCAGGUGGUUUCUUAAGUCUGAUGUGAAAGCCCACGGCUCAACCGUGGAGGGUCAUUGGAAACUGGCGAGCUUGAGUGCGGCAGAGGGGGGUGGAAUUCCGCGUGUAGCAGUGAAAUGCGUAGAUAUCGGGAGGAACAUCCGUGGCGAAGGCGGCUACCUGGACCAGCACUGACACUGAGGCACGAAAGCGUGGGGAGCAAACAGGA